UGCCAGCAGCCGCGGUAAUACGGAGGGGGCGAGCGUUAUUCGGAAUUACUGGGCGUAAAGGGUGCGUAGGCGGCCCAUCAAGUUAGACGUGAAAGCCCCGGGCUCAACCUGGGAACUGCAUCUCAAACUGGAUGGCUAGAGUAUGUCAGAGGAAAGUGGAAUUUCCGGUGUAGCGGUGAAAUGCGUAGAUAUCGGAAAGAACAUCAGUGGCGAAGGCGGCUAACUGGCUCGGUACUGACGCUGAGAUGCGAAAGCGUGGGGAGCAAACAGGAUUAGAUA
rnacentral:rRNA from 1 species